GAUAAUUUCCUUUUUCGCAACUGCUUGCCAACUGCAAGCUUUGUUACAACUUUGGUAUCUUAGACCAACCGGUCAAAAGACCUCGGAGUCGAGUACUCCAACGCUUCCGCACCUACAUCUCAGUUUCUUCAAACAUUUUCUAUUUAGCCCUCAUGGCCAGUCCCAGGAACCCUCAACGCACCCAGUCGGCGGAGGCCGACCAUGAGCGCUACCAGCUGCGCCAGGUGAGCCCGUCAAAAGCGCAAAAACUGGUACAAAAGGUCCAGGACAUGUACGAAAAGUACGUGAGACGCGCCCAGCGUAGGGGCAUAACACCGCCGUCGCGCAUGUUUGACAAAGUCAGACAAUUCUGCGAAGAGCAAGACUAUCGCUCCGCACUAGGCUUCCUAAUGGAAGCUAACGAGGAACUCUCUCACGUGCAGAAAAGCCGCGAAAUGAGGGAACGCCUAGCCAAUGCGGCGCAGGACGCCGACAACGACCCAACAGGGCCGGGGCCAUCGCGCGCACGCACUGCGCAGCCAACGGCUGCCACAACGGGGCCGACCAGGGUAACGCUGCCCACGGCCGCGCUCCAGCCGCAACGCGGCACACGGCAGGGUGAGUUGCGUGAAGAGCGUGAACGUAACGACACCACUGCGGCUGACCUCGUCCCGNNNNNNNNNNNNNNNNNNNNNNNNNNNNNNNNNNNNNNNNNNNNNNNNNNGCGUGGCCCCCAGUGGGCGUACCCCUGCCUAGGCGCUAUUGCGGACUUUUGGCUGCUUUCAGGACAGGGACCCGUUGGGAUAACAGACCCCGCUGCGCCAUCUCAAAGCAACUACCCCUCUGCCGCGGCGCCAUCCACCGGAAACGGACCCAACCUCACGAGCACUAAUACUCUGAGUCGGCCACUCGCGGUCUACAGAUUCGUGUUCUUCAUAAGCUAAGCCUGACCCGUAGCUUCUAAUCCAGCCUGGUCAAACAACAGCGGCGGCGCAUCCCUUUCCCGCUAUUUUAAAUACUGGGUCCGGUCUCUCCCAUGCCUUUGAUAUAACAGAACUUGCGGCGGCUGGCUGUGCCUACAGUCUGACCGCGCGGAGCAAUAGCUGGCGUCUGUUACUCACCGCAUCGGCCCCCUCCGGGUAACUAGGUGGUCCGCCAUUCUGGUGUCCUCCUUCGUCUCGCUGUUGGAGGAUGUCCUCCAAGCCUUCUUGGCCUCCGCCGCGCGAUUGCUCGCGCUCUGCCAUCACUUCGCUGUUACUGGCGACCGAUAUGCCAGCAACGUCGAAUCGCCUUAUCUACUUUACUAUUGAGCUGGGUCCCGAAUACAAAGUAAAUCACUAUUUAAACAAUUCAAAAUCCCCAACAGACGACGUUCUGACUUGCGCUUGCUUGCACGGUUGACUGGCGAACUAGCGUUGUCUGGAUUCAGCGCUUUGUUCCCAGCUAAUCUUUGUAACGCACUACCGUAUCAGUCACUGUCCUCUGGCCAAUUCCGGUCUGCUCCUCCCGCGCCGCACUUGCCGUACUACACUACAGGACGAGCACUUAAUCAACAUGCAUUGCUGUUGUAUGCUGACGACCUUAGUCUCUUUGCUGGGUCGCACAGGCGAUUUAUGGCAUUGUUGCGUGCGCUAAAGGAAUGGUGCGAAGCUUUUGGCAUGAGAGUAAAUGUGGGAAAGUGUGAGGUAUUGUAUUUUCAUCGGGACCUGGAGGCACGCAAGGCUAUGCACGUUUUGGGUUCGUACGGGCUUGUUACCAUGAUUGUGAAGGAGGCUACGGGACACGCGCUCAAGAGUUUACCUUGGAAGGAGCGCGCACGAUAUUUGGGCCUGCAUUAUGGACCGGGUACAACUUUCGAAUCGUGCACAGAUGAGUUGUUUGCAUCAGGCCAGAAGGCGCUCUUCUCGCUGGUUAGUAAGCUUAAGCGACAAGGGCUUUUUGUCCCAGCUGUUGCGGUGAAAGCGUUUGAUGCCCAGGUUUUGUCUAUUCUGUCGUACAGGGUACAGGUUUGGGGCCCGUUAAGGGUUCUGGACAUCCUGGAGCGCGGUUACCCUAGCAGCCAGGAACCACGAUCGUGUUACUUUGAGAUUGCACUGCAGGACAGGAUGGUGGAACUGCAGAAGAACUUCCUGAAGCAGUUGAGUGGUGCUGGCUUACCAACAAAUCGACUACUAUUCAGAGAGUUGGGUCAAUACCCUUUGCAAUUGCAUUGGGCAAACCUGAUUUUUCGUUUUUGGAACAGAUUGGUUGAGGCAAAAGGUUCUGUGUACCACCAUUGCUUUCGGGAGGAACUGCGGUUAGCAUUAUCAUCUGGCAUGACGUAUGAUGGAUGGGGAGCGAAAGUCCUGAAGAUCCUUGAGUUGAUGGGUCAUAACGUGCGGACGGGUGUGGACGACUCAGGCGACAUUGAGGUCAAAGUUGAUUCUCUGGCGACACGUUCACUAGAUGUAGGCCAGUUGAUCUGUGAACUUCGGAGCCGAUUUGAUGAUGACUGGGAAAGUGAGCGGUUGACAGUGGAUCCAGCUUUGUUUGUUUCAGAUAAUAGGCAACCAGGGGUAAAGAUGUGUCGCUAUAAGCAUUGGAUGGGUUUGCCCAAGAAUGGCAGCGGCUAUAUCUCGCCAAAACAGCACGUCACGCUGAUGCGUUUCAGGAUGUGUGUUUGGCCUUUGGCGGUUAAUCGACCGCACGGUAGGGAACGGUCUGCCCGGUGGUGCCGGGUCUGUGGGAACCGGCAAGCUGUUGAGGAUGAAUGUCAUGUGCUGCUAGAUUGUCCUGCGUAUGCGAAUAUCCGUUUGAAGCUUUGGGACCUGGGGGUUACUCCUGGGAACCGCAUGAUCGAGAUUAUGGGCGUCAAGGAUCAACGCGGGUUAGCGCACNNNNNNNNNNNNNNNNNNNNNNNNNNNNNNNNNNNNNNNNNNNNNNNNNNCACGACUUAGUCGCACGCCAAGGCUCCACGCUCACAAUCCAGAGCAUGCGUGCCGACUUCUUGUUGCUUUUCGGUGACGUGCACCGUUGCACCCCUCACCACGUACGAACGCAACUUCACGCCGGUGCACACGCAAUGAAGCCCGGCGAGUCCAUACCGAAUUACGUGCAACGGUUCCGCGAAAUUACGCGCGGCGACCCUAACAUGUCUCAAAUUGACUUGUGCACUUGGCUUAUUCACGGUAUGCCACCGCAACUGCGGCGGGAAUGCGCCACGGAUGCCAACGGCAAUAACUGGUUUGCAUUCGAUGCUUUAGUUAACUACGCCCAAGGUGCACAAACGCGCCACGAGGCGGGCAAGGCGCAAACGGCGCGACUUAACUUUCUAGGCACUAACGAUGCCCCUGCCCAUCCCCGACAGAAUGGCGGCCGCGGCAACCACACCCAACGGGGUGGAUCCGGCAACCGCACCGACCACCGAGGUAGCCGCUAUGGCGGUCGCGGCGGCGGUCGAGCUGGCGGUCGCGGUGGCGCCUCUGGCGGACGCGGCCGAGGCGGCAACUUGGAACUGCCGACUUGGGUCCGCGAGAUGGCGAAGGAAAAGAAUAUCUGCUACCACUGCGGAGAGCCCUUCGGCAAGGGCCACCUAUGCGGCAAACGGCCGCGUUACAACAACGAGGACCGCAAAAACGCGGAUGCCUAGGANAUUGCCCACGCCGUAGCCUCAGGCAGCUCGUGUGGGGAACCAAUGGACAUCGAGGAACCAACCCGGAAUCN
rnacentral:lncRNA from 1 species